rnacentral:pre_miRNA from 1 species
GUGUGUGUGUGUGUGUGUGUGUGUGUGUGUGUGGUGCUGGGGAUUGAACCAGCACCACACAAACACACACAAAUAGGCAA